GUGAUGAGAGGAAGUGAGGAAAACGACAUAGGCAUUGUGACAUAGCAUUAGGCUAUUGCUAAUCUUCUGACCAUAGCUCAGAAGGGGGAUCAUCUCCUUCGGGUGAUGCUGGGUCACUGAGCCAUGGUGAUGUUAGUGGCUGGAUCUCAGAAGCAUAUGAUUUCAAUAACUAAUGGGCAGACGUCUUGGGACGCAAAGGGCCAAGGCAUCAGAAACACUUGGUACCAGCUUCCACAGCAACAAUGAGAGGUAACCCCAGUGCUUCCACUACCAACAGGACAUUACCACUUGCAGGCAGAGAAACAGACAAGAAAAAUAGUGGAUGCCACAUAUUAGGACUCGUCUGAGACAUGAUGCAAGACUUUUUAGAAAGAAUUUGAGAUAAGAGAGUUUAAGACAUGUUUUUGCUCCUGGAGUCUGAAGAAGAUGGAGUUAGCAUUUUCACCACUUCUUUUGUCCGUCAAUUUCAAUGAUCUUCAGUUUGCAGCAGAUGCUGAAGUCAGCACAGUAUGUAAUUGCAUGUUCAUCAGCAUUGCACUUCAGUCUGCAAUGAUAAUAUUCUGAAGGACAUUCAUCAUUAGAAAUGAAGCUUCCGGCUUUAAGAGGAGAAGACAAAUUAUAUGACACAAUAUAUUUACUUUUUAUUUUUAAAGUCUGAAAUAUUUUAUAACAAAUUAAAAACAUUAAAGAACUUUCCCAGAAAAACAAAACAACAGCAAAAGAAUGCAAGAGAAAAAGUGGAGAUGCUGAAUAAAGACAAACGAUGCUUUCUUCUAUAAAGAGAGGAGUAAAUGAGGCAGUAGCUGGAAAUGAGUGAUAAAGCUAAAAUGAGACUCCCAGGGUAUGGCCCUCGUGCAAUAUGGCUGAUGUCCUUAUUAGAAGAGGAAGAGACACCAGGAAUGCAUGUGCACAGAAAAAAUGCCAUAAGAGGACAUAGCAAGAAGGCAACCAGCUGCAAGCCAAGACAGGCCUCAGGAGAAACCAAAUGUGCUGACAUCUUGAUCUUAGACUUAUAACAUCCACAACUGUGAGAAAAUGAACUUUUGUUAUUUAAGGCACCCAUUCUGUGGUACUUUCUUAUGAUAACCCUAUAGCAAUGCAAGAAUGGCCUAAUACAUCUAUAUUUAUAUUGGACAAAAUUGACUUUAAGCAAAAAAACAUAAAAAGAGACAAAGAAGGCCAUCAUAUAAUGAUAAAAGGGCCAAUUCAGCAAGAGGAUAUAAAAAUUCCAAAUAUGUAUAUAUAUGUACCCAGUAGUGGAAUACUUAGAUAUAUUAAAAAUGUCAUUAGAGGUAAAGAGAGAGAUACACCUCAACAUCAUGAUAACUGAGGGCUUCAAUACCCCACUUUCAGCAUUGAACAUUCAGCAUUCUAGGUAGAAAGCUAACAAAUAAUCAUCGAAUUUAAUCUGUACCGCAGACCAAAUAGACUUAACAGACAUUUACAGAACAUUUCAUCCAAUAGCAGUGGAGUACACAUUCUUCUCCUCAUCAGAUAGAACAUUCUCCAGGCUAGACCAUAUGUUAAGACACAAAACAAGUUUCAACAAAUUUUGAAAAAUCAACAUUAUAUCAAGUAUAUUCUAGACAAAAAUAGAAUAGAACUAGAAAUGAAUACUAGGAGGAACUUUGGAAACUAUACAGAUAACAUGGAAAUUAAACAACAUGCUUCUGAACAACCAUUGAGUCAAUGAGAAA
rnacentral:lncRNA from 1 species